rnacentral:misc_RNA from 1 species
GAUGAAGAACGUAGUGAAAUGCGAUAAGUAAUGUGAAUUGCAGAAUUCAGUGAAUCAUCGAAUCUUUGAACGCACAUUGCGCCCGCCAGUAUUCUGGCGGGCAUGCCUGUUCGAGCGUCAUUACAACCAUCAAGCCCCAGGCUUGUGUUGGGGACCUGCGGCUGCCGCAGGCCCUGAAAACCAGUGGCGGGCUCGCUGUCACACCGGGCGUAGUAGAUUUUAUCUCGCUCAGGGCGUGCUGCGGGUUCCGGCCGUUAAAAAGCCUUUUUUACCCAAGGUUGACCUCGGAUCAGGUAGGAAGACCCGCUGAACUUAAGCAUAUCAAUAAGCGGAGGA